AAUAGAAAUAAAAUUGUUUUUUUUUUCUUUCCAUAACAAGCUCGACAAAUAUUUGAGCAGCUAAGGAAUGAAACGAAAUUUGAGUCAUUCGCACUACUCAUUCUCAUUUAAAAUAAAAAGCAAAUAUUUAUAUUUAGGAAACCAUUUAAGUUUUGAGUAAGUCUUUCGAAACCAAUGAUCAAUAUAAUAUUCGCCUAAUAUGGUACAAAUAAUAUAAACCUUCAGACUUCUAUUUACAAAACAAUUAAAAAGAGCGAAGCACUUUCCUGUGAUUAUGUGUGCAUUUUUCAUAUUUCCUAUUCUACAUACUAGCGUUAACUGGCUAUGCAGAUGUGGAAGACCACCUGUUUCCAUUUAAGUGGCCGCAGCUGUAUGCUUCAAAAGCAGCAACGCGCGUUGUACAUUGGAGUUUUUUUGGAAUUUCCUUUCAAAUUAUCGUUGUUCUUGCUUAACUCAAUUUUUAAAAUUUCACAUCACUGACAUAGCUAAUGGAUUGCAUUUUGCAGAUGAAUAUAUGUAUGUAUGUGCAUAUUUGUGUAGCUGCGGAACAGCGCUUUGCUUUGUUUUUGCUUACGAAGCAGAAAGCAAAGCGACAUUCGAAGUAGCAAAGUAAAGAAGUGAUUAAAAGAAAUGAAAAUGAAUGAAUGGUAUAGGAAACAUAGUAAUGCAUAAUACACAAGGGAAUAAUGAACGGAUUGAAAAAAGGAAAAGGAAAUACGAAUACAAAUACAAAAUGGCUGAUUCAAACCGAAUAAAAAAAUUCAGCUACAUAUCGAAUUUUCAUAAGCAAAUUAGUUGAGAGAUUUGCAUUUUUUAUUUUGUUUUACAUAUGGAUAUGGAUAUUUAAUAAACGAUCAUUUGAAACGCAA